CCUUUCCAGAUAGUGGCUCCUGCUAAUAUUGCUCUGAACAGUCCAGUUGAGGUCAAGGAUGAGGAGAUGAGGACGGAGGAGGACACUGUCAACCCUGUAGAUUGACACCAGGCCCUACAGGGGUUGUACUCCAGGUACCCCAGGGUUGUACUCCAGGGGUGUAUCUCGUUCCUCACAGGGGUGUAUCUCGUUCCUCACAGGGGUGUAUCUCAUUCCUCACAGGGGUGUAUCUCAUUCCUCACAGGGGUGUAUCUCAUUCCUCACAGGGGUGUAUCUCAUUCCUCACAGGGGUGUAUCUCAUUCCUCACAGGGGUGUAUCUCAUUCCUCACAGGGGUGUAUCUCAUUCCUCACAGGGGUGUAUCUCGUUCCUCACAGGGGUGUAUCUCGUUCCUCACAGGGGUGUAUCUCGUUCCUCACAGGGGUGUAUCUCGUUCCUCACAGGGGUGUAUCUCGUUCCUCACAGGGGUGUAUCUCGUUCCUCACAGGGGUGUAUCCCAUCUUUACCAUAUACUUACUGUAAGAGCGGUUGGUUUUACCUCAGGACGGUCACGUUUAUUGAUCACGUUUAUUGUACAAUUGACUGAAAGUGCAAUUUAUCCCGUGUUUUCUCCUUGUUAUGCUUUUUGAUAUCAUCACGGGGAACUUGUUUCCUAUCACUCUUUAAAAUCAUGGAAUCCAACGAAUAUUGUAUAAUUACAGAUUUAAAAAAUAAAAAAGACAACUAGGAGAACCUUGGAUGUAUCAAGUCGAUAUCAUGUGUAUAUAUUAGUGCAUAGGAAAUGUCUUUUUAAUAGAUUAACCCUGUUGCAUAGUCUUCUGAGAUGAUCAUGUACUUCAAUAAAGGUUUAUUUUAUUUGUUUAAAUUAA